UCUUGAAGUUCAGUGAGUUCUGCAGCAUUUUUUGAACACUGAUCAGUUGGCAAAAUGGAAGAAGAUGGUUCCUCGGCACAGUGUGAGCAACCAUGGCCAUACUUAAAAAGUAUGUUCCAGUUUUCUGAAAAGGUCAAAGAUUCUUUUCGUUUAAAAUGUUUGCUUUGUUUGCCUAAACAAAUCACAGCCUUCAAAAACUCGCCGUCCAACCUGCGAAAGCAUAUUGAGGUACAGUCCAGCUGAAAUGGCCUUUUGGGGGGGAAUAUACUACCACCAUGAGUCUAGUUGUGAAGGCGACAAACAUAUUACAAGGAGAUUCCAACAUUCAGACUACUAUUACUAUCCUCAUCACCAAGCUUGAGAAAACAAGAGCAUCGCUGAGACUCUGCAAGCCGCUAGUUGAUGCCCUCCUAGAUGGUUUGAAAAAACGGUUUGGGAACAUGAUGUCUGAUCCCGAGCUAGUUGCUGCAGCCAUUAUUCAUCCAGAGUUCAAUACAUCCUCAAACUUGGCCUCACUUACAUCAAGGAACAUCUUUCUGAUCAUGAUGAGUCUUCAACUCCUCAAGCACUUCUGAUGAAGAGGAUUUCUUCUCUAAUAUCAAGCAUACAUGCACACAGGAAACAUCCUAACAACUGGAUGUAUACCUACCAUGUAUAGCUGAAGGUUUGACUAUGUUGACAUCUUAUCCAGCCUUAUCCAUCCUGUCGCUCAAGCUGACCACAGCCCUGCCUGUGAAAGGCUUUUUAGUGCAGCUGGAUUGAUUGCAGCCCAAAAAGGGAAGCAAUUAAUUCACAUAACUUUGAGAACCAGCUUCUACUUAAGAUGAAUAAGAACUAUAAGUUUUUAUAAGUUUGACUGAUUCGACCUAAGAUUUCUCCCGACUAGUGGCCUGUGAGAGACAGUAUCGUCGUUGUCACAUCAAAUUGUUUGAAGUUUUUGUUUUGAUGUCAGAUAAGUCUUGCUGUUUUGCUUUUUUUUAAAAGCAGUGUUGCUGUUGAGCAGUUAUACAACUACGGUUGUGUAGCUGGGUUUUAAAGCAUGUUGGAUUAUUUUAUUUUUUCUGAUCAGUCUGUAUUUACAGCAAUUUCACUGUCUGCUUGAUUCAAAUGUGGAUGAAUGUAUAGAUGUGUGCACACUGCCAGAGCUGUGCGUUUACCAUGCUGCUUUUGUGGGGGUGAGUAGGAGUGUUAAAUAAAAAAAAUGAAGAUGAUUAUGGCUGUCUUUUUAGUCAAUUCAGUUGUUUCAUUUCUGUAGGUUUUGUAACAUUCUAAAAGCUCUUUAUUCCACAGAUACUACAAGCUAGUCAGUGUAUUCAGUAGGUUGCUUCAGAGGCAUAAGGUGAGUAUUACAUACAACAAUGCAACAAUAAUAAAACAAU